GACGAACGCUGGCGGCGUGCUUAACACAUGCAAGUCGAACGGAAAGGCCCUGCUUUUGUGGGGUGCUCGAGUGGCGAACGGGUGAGUAACACGUGAGUAACCUGCCCUUGACUUUGGGAUAACUUCAGGAAACUGGGGCUAAUACCGGAUAGGAGCUCCUGCUGCAUGGUGGGGGUUGGAAAGUUUCGGCGGUUGGGGAUGGACUCGCGGCUUAUCAGCUUGUUGGUGGGGUAGUGGCUUACCAAGGCUUUGACGGGUAGCCGGCCUGAGAGGGUGACCGGCCACAUUGGGACUGAGAUACGGCCCAGACUCCUACGGGAGGCAGCAGUGGGGAAUAUUGCACAAUGGGCGGAAGCCUGAUGCAGCAACGCCGCGUGCGGGAUGACGGCCUUCGGGUUGUAAACCGCUUUCGCCUGUGACGAAGCGUGAGUGACGGUAAUGGGUAAAGAAGCACCGGCUAACUACGUGCCAGCAGCCGCGGUGAUACGUAGGGUGCGAGCGUUGUCCGGAUUUAUUGGGCGUAAAGGGCUCGUAGGUAGUUGAUCGCGUCGGAAGUGUAAUCUUGGGGCUUAACCCUGAGCGUGCUUUCGAUACGGGUUGACUUGAGGAAGGUAGGGGAGAAUGGAAUUCCUGGUGGAGCGGUGGAAUGCGCAGAUAUCAGGAGGAACUCCAGUGGCGAAGGCGGUUCUCUGGGCCUUUCCUGACGCUGAGGAGCGAAAGCGUGGGGAGCGAACAGGCUUAGAUACCCUGGUAGUCCACGCUGUAAACGGUGGGUACUAGGUGUGGGGUCCAUUCCACGGGUUCCGUGCCGUAGCUAACGCUUUAAGUACCCCGCCUGGGGAGUACGGCCGCAAGGCUAAAACUCAAAGGAAUUGACGGGGCCCCGCACAAGCGGCGGAGCAUGCGGAUUAAUUCGAUGCAACGCGUAGAACCUUACCUGGGUUUGACAUGGAUCGGGAGUGCUCAGAGAUGGGUGUGCCUCUUUUGGGGUCGGUUCACAGGUGGUGCAUGGCUGUCGUCAGCUCGUGUCGUGAGAUGUUGGGUUAAGUCCCGCAACGAGCGCAACCCUUGUUCACUGUUGCCAGCACGUUAUGGUGGGGACUCAGUGGAGACCACCGGGGUCAACUCGGAGGAAGGUGGGGAUGACGUCAAGUCAUCAUGCCUCUUAUGUCCAGGGCUUCACGCAUGCUACAAUGGCUGGUACAGAGAGUGGCGAGCCUGUGAGGGUGAGCGAAUCUCGGAAAGCCGGUCUCAGUUCGGAUUGGGGUCUGCAACUCGACCUCAUGAAGUCGGAGUCGCUAGUAAUCGCAGAUCAGCAACGCUGCGGUGAAUACGUUCCCGGG
rnacentral:rRNA from 1 species